rnacentral:lncRNA from 1 species
AAUAUUUAGGUAUUAGAUUGCUUUCUUAAAGACGCAUGGGAUGAUUCAUUAAGAAUAUGACGCAUGAGAUGAUGAGAUGUCAAUUAUUUUUUAAUUUGUUGGUGUUUUUUUUUAAAAAAUGUUAUUGAUUUAAUUCUUUGUAACGGAAAAUAAAUAUAAAUUCGAAAAAAAUUGUAAAUUUUUCCGACACACUUUUUUUUAGUAGAUGUGUAUUGACAUUUGUUAUGUUAUAGAACUAGAAUGUUU